rnacentral:lncRNA from 1 species
AGGAAGACCUUGGCAACUUUGUCACACCUGGCGGGAUCUGUAAUAAUUGGGUGGUUGUUGAUGUUCCAACAAUUAUCCACAAGUCAGCGUAAUAUCUUCAUUUUGAUUAAAAACCAUUCUCCCAUGCCAAAAGUGAUGACAUUGUUGGCACAUUUUGAUUAAUACAAUGAUAUUCAUUCAAUAAUCACAUGUUAAAUGUUUGUUUUUUCUAAAUUAUUUUUUCUUUUUGCUUUUUGCAUGAAAUUGG